rnacentral:rRNA from 1 species
AUUGAACGCUAGCGGGAUGCUUUACACAUGCAAGUCGAACGGAGUGGCGAACGGGUGAGUAAUGUAUCGGAACGUGCCCAGUAGCGGGGGAUAACUACGCGAAAGCGUAGCUAAUACCGCAUACUCUUGGAGCGGCCGAUAGCGGCUUAGCUAGUUGGUGGGUUAACGGCUCACCAGGGCGACGAUCCGUAGCUGGUUUGAGAGGACGACCAGCCAAACUGGGACUGGGACACGGCCCAGACUCCUACGGGAGGCAGCAGUGGGGAAUUUUGGACAAUGGGGGAAACCCUGAUGCAGCCAUCCCGCGUGGGCGAUGAAGGCCUUCGGGUUGUAAAGCACUUUUGGCAGGAAGGCGGUACCUGCAGAAUAAGCACCGGCUAACUACGUGCCAGCAGCCGCGGUAAUAC